AAAAAGCACAGAACAGCUCUGGGUCAAAAGAGCCAGUGGGAAUGGUGAGAAGCAGUCCAGUGAACUUUGAGGCCCUGAGGUGUAGCCUUGAGAGAAGGCUCAGAAGCUGGGUAGAGUUCCCCAUGAUCUGGAUGCCUGGAAUGAUGGUGGAAAUUGCUGGUCCAGUCAUGGCUUGUAUUUUCUGUGCGUUAUGCUGCUCUGACCUUUGGGGUCUAGGCAAGCUAGAUAGGUGAAAAGUGACAGUCACAGCUGUCUUUCGUUCUCACGUUGAUUGGAGAAGGAAACAAACGGGCAUCUAAAAAUAAUCACAAAAUAAAAUAAGAUAAAGUAAAACCACACUGGAAUAGGAUAAAAC
rnacentral:lncRNA from 1 species